UGCGGAAGGAUCAUUAACGAAUAUAAAUCGGUCGGUUGUCGCUGGCCUUCGGGCAUGUGCACGCUGACCGUGUUUCAACAAUUUCUCACCUGUGAACCUAAUGUAGGAUGCCUCUCCUCCGGGAGGGGGGACCUAUGUCUUCAUAUACAUCUUMGUGUAGAAAGUCUUAGAAUGUUUACUAUCAGAGAGUCGCGACUUCUAGGAGACGCGAAACUCUUGAGAUAAAAGUUAUUACAACUUUCAGCAAUGGAUCUCUUGGCUCUCGCAUCGAUGAAGAACGCAGCGAAAAGCGAUAUGUAAUGUGAAUUGCAGAUCUACAGUGAAUCAUCGAAUCUUUGAACGCACCUUGCGCUCCUCGGUGUUCCGAGGAGCAUGCCUGUUUGAGUGUCAGUAAAUUCUCAACCCCUCUUGAUUUAUUUUUGAGGGAGUUUGGAUAGUGGGGGUUGCCGGAGACUAAUAAGACUCGGGCUCUCCUGAAAUGCAUUGGCUUGCGAUAGACUUUCGACUUUGCGCGACAAGGCUUUCGGCGUGAUAAUGAUCGCCGUUCGCUGAAGCGAAUGAAUGAAGGUUUCGCGCCUCUAAUAUGUCGAACUCUUAUUAUCUUCUUCGGAAGAGAAAAAAGGUUCUUUCUUUA
rnacentral:rRNA from 1 species